rnacentral:lncRNA from 1 species
CAGAACAGCCCCAAGACAGAAAAGGGCCUUGUUCUUCCAAGAGCCCAAACUGGGGCACAGUCUUGGAGUGGAGGCCGGAAAAGAAGGGUGAAAUUAGGAAUCCUAGCUCCACAGAGGGCCUGUCUCAGGCCCAAAGGGGCGGGGAGCAGAGAACAUCUGGAAGUCGAGGCCUUAGGCCCGUGCCAAGCUGUCUGAGUAACAGGAUGCUUAUGUGCGGGGCUGGAGGUGGGGGACUGUUAGGAGAGAGGACAAUGCUGAGGACUUGGGCACCAGUGCCUCAGUUAACAAAUCCCCUCAGUUCUGAACUCUUCAGGAUGCACAGUUGGGCCUUGAGCUUCCUAAUUAGGCGAGAGGCAGACCUGGCCGGAGAUGCCUGGGGGAGGGGCCGCAGUCCACGCGGUCACACAAAGAAAGCCAGGUGCUGUUGAUGCGAGUGAAAGUCUCCUACACAGCCCGGUAGCCUACACGCAGCAAAGCCCCUGCUCCUUUAGCGGGGGGCCUCUUGUGGAAUUCAGGUCUUGGCUAGAACUCUCUGCUUUAGGCCCCCAGAAGGUCUGAGAGAGGCUCCGGAAACCUGGCGGCUUCUCUUCAGGUUUGGCAAACUCAAGAUUUUUUUUUUUUUUCCAGCGCCUUGUGUUCAGCAAAACUGAAAAUGUGUUUGGCUUGAAAGAAACCCUGCUCUAAUUUUUAAACUCCCGGUGCAUUUUUUCUUUUUCUUUCUUUCUUUUCUUUUUUUUUUUUUUACAUAAAUUUGAUCCACAUGGCUUUG